GGCAGCCGCCGCGGGAACACCGGCGGCCCGAGUGGUGAUCGUGAUUAUGGGUCUAAAGGGUCCGUAGCCGGUUUGGUCAGUCCUCCGGGAAAUCUGAUAGCUCAACUAUUAGGCUUUCGGGGGAUACUGCCAGACUUGGAACCGGGAGAGGUAAGAGGUACUACAGGGGUAGGAGUGAAAUCUUGUAAUCCCUGUGGGACCACCUGUGGCGAAGGCGUCUUACCAGAACGGGUUCGACGGUGAGGGACGAAAGCGUGGGGGCACGAACCGGAUUAGAUACCCGGGUAGUCCCAGCCGUAAACGAUGCUCGCUAGGUGUCAGGCAUGGCGCGACCGUGUCUGGUGCCGCAGGGAAGCCGUGAAGCGAGCCACCUGGGAAGUACGGCCGCAAGGCUGAAACUUAAAGGAAUUGGCGGGGGAGCACAACAACGGGUGGGAAGCCUGCGGUUUAAUUGGACUCAACGCCGGACAACUCACCGGGGGCGACAGCAAUAUGUAGGCCAAGCUGAAGACUUUGCCUGAAUCGCUGAGAAGUGGUGCAUGG
rnacentral:rRNA from 1 species